CGACCCUAGCUCAGGCGAGAACACCCGCUGAGUUUAAGAAUAUAAUUAAGCGGAGGAAAAGAAACUUACAAGGAUUCCCCUAGUAACGGCGAGCGAACCGGGAAGAGCCCAGCAU
rfam:Picea glauca, whole genome shotgun sequence.